AUCGGGGAGCUCGUGAACGGGCUGAGAGGAAGCAGAAAGCUUCGACCCUUAUACCUGAUUCGGGUAAUGCCGGCGUAGGAAAUUUAUAUUUUA
rnacentral:ncRNA from 1 species